rnacentral:tRNA from 1 species
ACUCUACUAGGAUGAUGCACAAGAAAAGCUC